rnacentral:rRNA from 1 species
UACGUAGGGGGCUAGCGUUGUCCGGAAUCAUUGGGCGUAAAGCGCGUGUAGGCGGCCCGGUAAGUCCGCUGUGAAAGUCCAGGGCUCAACCCUGGGAUGCCGGUGGAUACUGUCGGGCUCGAGUCCGGAAGAGGCGAGUGGAAUUCCUGGUGUAGCGGUGAAAUGCGCAGAUAUCAGGAGGAACACCAAUGGCGAAGGCAGCUCGCUAAACCAUAACUGACGCUGAGGCACGAAAGCGUGGGGAGCAAACAGG